GAUGAACGCUGGCGGCGUGCCUAAUACAUGCAAGUCGAGCGAACAGACGAGGAGCUUGCUCCUCUGACGUUAGCGGCGGACGGGUGAGUAACACGUGGAUAACCUACCUAUAAGACUGGGAUAACUUCGGGAAACCGGAGCUAAUACCGGAUAAUAUAUUGAACCGCAUGGUUCAAUAGUGAAAGACGGUUUUGCUGUCACUUAUAGAUGGAUCCGCGCCGCAUUAGCUAGUUGGUAAGGUAACGGCUUACCAAGGCAACGAUGCGUAGCCGACCUGAGAGGGUGAUCGCCCACACUGGAACUGAGACACGGUCCAGACUCCUACGGGAGGCAGCAGUAGGGAAUCUUCCGCAAUGGGCGAAAGCCUGACGGAGCAACGCCGCGUGAGUGAUGAAGGUCUUCGGAUCGUAAAACUCUGUUAUUAGGGAAGAACAAAUGUGUAAGUAACUAUGCACGUCUUGACGGUACCUAAUCAGAAAGCCACGGCUAACCACGUG
rnacentral:rRNA from 1 species